GUAGGUGGCAAGCGUUGUCCGGAAUUAUUGGGGCGUAAAGCGCGCGCAGGCGGUUCUUUAAGUCUGAUGUGAAAGCCCACGGCUCAACCGUGGAGGGUCAUUGGAAACUGGAGAACUUGAGUACAGAAGAGGAAAGCGGAAUUCCACGUGUAGCGGUGAAAUGCGUAGAGAUGUGGAGGAACACCAGUGGCGAAGGCGGCCUUCUGGUCUGUAACUGACGCUGAGGCGCGAAAGCGUGGGGAGCAAACAGGAUUAGAUACCCUGGUAGUCCACGCCGUAAACGAUGAGUGCUAAGUGUUAGGGGGUUUCCGCCCCUUAGUGCUGCAGCUAACGCAUUAAGCACUCCGCCUGGGGAGUACGGCCGCAAAGGCUG
rnacentral:rRNA from 1 species